GCAGCCGCGGUAAUACGUAGGGAGCGAGCGUUAUCCGGAUUCAUUGGGCGUAAAGCGCGCGUAGGCGGCCGCCUAAGCGGGCAUGUCGAAGCCGGGGGCUCAACCCCCGGAAGCAUCCCGAACUGGGCGGCUCGAGUGCGGCAGAGGAAGGCGGAAUUCCCGGUGUAGCGGUGAAAUGCGCAGAUAUCGGGAAGAACACCGACGGCGAAGGCAGCCUUCUGGGCCGCCACUGACGCUGAGGCGCGAAAGCUGGGGGAGCGAACAGGAUUAGAUACCCC
rnacentral:rRNA from 1 species